rnacentral:tRNA from 1 species
UGUAGCUCAGUAGUAGAGCGCUUGCCUAGCAUGUAUGAGGCACUGGGUUUGAUUCUCAGCA